AACGCUGGCGGCGUGCUUAACACAUGCAAGUCGAACGGUGAACCAGGGCUUGCCCUGGGGAUCAGUGGCGAACGGGUGAGUAACACGUGGGCAACCUGCCCCUGACUCUGGGAUAACUCCUCGAAAGAGGUGCUAAUACCGGAUACGACCACUUCGGGCAUCCGAUGGUGGUGGAAAGAAUUUUGGUCAGGGAUGGGCCCGCGGCCUAUCAGCUUGUUGGUGGGGUAACGGGCCCACCAAGGCGACGACGGGUAGCCGGCCUGAGAGGGCGACCGGCCACACUGGGACUGAGACACGGCCCAGACUCCUACGGGAGGCAGCAGUGGGAAAUAUUGCGCAAUGGGCGAAAGCCUGACGCAGCGACGCCGCGUGAGGGACGACGGCCUUCGGGUUGUAAACCUCUUUCAGCAGGGACGAAGCGAAAGUGACGGUACCUGCAGAAGAAGCACCGGCUAACUACGUG
rnacentral:rRNA from 1 species